rnacentral:rRNA from 1 species
UACGUAGGCGGAAGAUUAAGUCAGUGGUGAAAUCCUGCAGCUUAACUGUAGAACUGUCAUUGAUACUGGUUUUCUUGAAUUUAGUUGAGGUAGGCGGAAUGUGUAAUGUAGCGGUGAAAUGCUUAGAUAUUACACAGAACACCGAUUGCGAAGGCAGCUUACUAAACUAUGAUUGACGCUGAGGUACGAAAGCGUGGGGAGCAAACAGGAUUAGAUACCCUGGUAGUCC